UACGGAGGGUGCAAGCGUUAUCCGGAUUCAUUGGGUUUAAAGGGUGCGUAGGCGGACUGAUAAGUCAGUGGUGAAAUCUCUCAGCUUAACUGAGAAACUGCCAUUGAUACUGUUAGUCUAGAGUAUAGAUGACGUUGGCGGAAUAUGACAUGUAGUGGUGAAAUACUUAGAUAUGUCAUAGAACACCGAUUGCGAAGGCAGCUAACGAAACUAUAACUGACGCUGAGGCACGAAAGUGCGGGGAUCAAACAGG
rnacentral:rRNA from 1 species